AUCUUGUGUCUCUGCACUGCAUCAUGGUGCUGUUCUUUUUCUAUUUUGAGAAUCUUUUUUGUUAUUUUGGCCUGAGUUUGGAUUUGAAAUCAAAAUCUCUUUUUAGAAUAUCGGCAGUCUUCUCUUGUGAUAUUCAAUUUUGUGUCGUUUUUGUAAACUGAUUUCUAUUGUACUUGGAUGUUCUGAAGCCCAUUCCAUCUAAAAUUUUAUUCCUAGUUAACGACAUAUGAUUCUCUGUUGCAAUUGCUGUUAAGGUUAUUGUCCAUUUAUUUAUGUUGUUGAUAUGAUUAGAUUGUAUCUAAUGAAAAUCAAAACCUUGUUUGAAAGCAUUAUCCAUUUCCUUUCUAGGUUUCUCGGUAUGAUUAAAAGAUAGGUUUUUAGGUGAGUGAAUUGUGAAAGUUUAAAUUUUGAUUCGAUUUUAUUUUGACUCUGCACAUCGAUAACGAUGGCAGUGAUCUCUUAUAUCAAUGACACUGGGAGUGGAGGAUUCAGGAGCAUGCAAAGUCUUUGUCUGAGAUUAUUUGCCACCAACUUUUAAUUGCUAGCAGACCUGAGAUUCCUCUUCUGUGGAUCUCUUUAAGAAAUGUAAUAUUUGAGUUUUGUAGACUUCUAAUCCAGAUUUGGUAGCUCAAUAUUCUUGAAGUAUACAACAUUAGUGGGUCCUGUUUUCUAUUUUUUAAUUUCUUUUACUAACUUAUUGUGGUGCAUCUAAGCCACAUUAGAGGUUUUUUGUUGCUUCUAACUGAUGACUGACCAUAUAUUUGUUUCAUCACUUGGAGAAUAAUUGGAAAGCUGUUUGAAUUCUUCUAGGAUGUUGUUCAGUAUGAUCACUCCAAUGCUGCUUUUCCUACUAUGAUUUAUGUAAAUUAAAUUUUUGGUGUAGGAAGAGUAUAUUAUGCUUUUAUUGAUACAAGCAUCAAAAGUGUUUUUGUACGAUUCAUAUGUUAAUACCAAGUUCAUACCUGUAUAGGCAGUAGUAAAUCUGGACUCUGGGUGUCAAAAAGAUUAUUUUUUGGUGCUUGAAUCUUUAGUUUUGCAGAAUCUAAUUUAUUUCUGAUUUUACAGAUCGACAUCGAUGGAGAAUUCAAACGAUACCUGUUCUUUCCUGCCAUGCCCUGCUCAAUUAACUUUCAUAAACAGCACAGAGAUUCAAUAUCAAUGGAAUACUGAAUUCUCAAAAGGAUUGCGGUACUUCCCUGCCAUGCCCUGCUGAAGUAACUAUCCUAAGCAGCAGAGCCCUGCAGAGAUUGAGAUUGAUGGAGAAUUCAAACGAUACCUGUUCUUUCCUGCCAUGCCUUGCUCAAGUAACUGUCAUAAACAGCAGAGAGAUUCAUUGUUGAUUGAAUACUUAAAAGGAUUGCUGUUCUUUCCUGCGAUGCCGUGUUGAAGUAACUAUCCUAAGCAGCAGAGCCCUGCAGAGAUCGAGAUUGAUGGAGAAUUCAAACGAUACCCGUUCUUUCCUGCCAUGCCUUGCUCAAGUAACUAUCAUAAACAGCAGAGAGAUUCAAUGUUGAUUGAAUACUUAAAAGGAUUGCUGUUCUUUCCUGCGAUGCCGUGCUGAAGUAACUAUCCUAAGCAGCAGAGCCCUGCAGAGGUUGAUAGAGAUGGUGGUGUCUUUGGAUGAAAGACACGUCGGGUGGAGGAUUCAAGGAAGCAUAUCAAGCGUGCAGCUGAGAUUCUUUGCCACCAACUUUUCAAGAACCAGUUACCUUAGAGUUAACUUAUUGUCGUGCCAUCAAAGGCAUGUUAGAGGUCCGUUGCUUCUUUUAACUGACUACCGAUCACGUUUUUGUUUUAUUACUUGGAAACC